rnacentral:rRNA from 1 species
UAGGGAAUCUUCCGCAAUGGGCGAAAGCCUGACGGAGCAACGCCGCGUGAGUGAUGAAGGUCUUCGGAUCGUAAAACUCUGUUAUUAGGGAAGAACAAAUGUGUAAGUAACUAUGCACGUCUUGACGGUACCUAAUCAGAAAGCCACGGCUAACUACGUGCCAGCAGCCGCGGUAAUACGUAGGUGGCAAGCGUUAUCCGGUAUUAUUGGGCGUAAAGCGCGCGUAGGCGGUUUUUUAAGUCUUAUGUGAAAGCCCACGGCUCAACCGUGGAGGGUCAUAGGAAACUGGAAAAAUUGAGUGCAGAAGAGGAAAGUGGAAUUCCAUGUGUAGCGGUGAAAUGCGCAGCGAUAUGGAGGAACACCAGUGGCGAAGGCGACUUUCUGGUCUGUAACUGACGCUGAUGUGCGAAAGCGUGGGGAUCAAACAGG